GACGAACGCUGGCGGCGUGCUUAACACAUGCAAGUCGAACGGAAAGGCCCCUUUUGGGGUACUCGAGUGGCGGACGGGUGAGUAACACGUGAGUAACCUGCCCUUGACUUCGUGAUAACUUCAGGAAACUGGGGCUAAUACCUGAUAGGAAUCCUUUCUGCAUGGUUGGGGGUGGAAAGCUUUGGCGGUUUUGUAGGGACGCGCUGCUUAUCAGGUUGUUUGUGGGGUAGUGGCUUACCAAGGCUUUGACGGGUAGCCGGCCUGAGAGGGGGAACGGCCACAUUGGGACUGGGAUACGGCCCAGACUCCUACGGGAGGCAGGAGUGGGGAAUAUUGGAAAAUGGGCGGAAGCCUGAUGCAGCAACGCCGCGGGCGGGAUGACGGCCUUCGGGUUGUAAAACGGUUUCAGCAGGGGAGAAGCUUGUGGUGACGGUACCUGCAGAAGAAGCACCGGCUAACUACGUG
rnacentral:rRNA from 1 species